rnacentral:ncRNA from 2 species
CGUCAUUCUCAGGGCGGGGCGAAAUUCCCCACCGGCGGUGAACCGACUGUGAUCGGUAAGCCCGCGAGCUUCAUCCACGAAGCUGAUCUGGUUAGAAUCCAGAGCCGACGGUUACAGUCCGGAAGAGAGAGGGUGAAC